UCAAAGCACGGAACCAACAGUGCGCAGCGCUAUGCCAGGCUCGCGAGCAACUGUGCCUUCAAGCAUCAAAUGUGUACACCACUAGGCGGAUGGUCCCAAAGCACAAGACUUACUACUCACAGCCUUGGAACAAAACUCCCUUAAGGUGGAACGUCAGACCGCUAAAAGCUGGUUUCCAAGAAUACCUUCCUCAGAAUUCAAACUUGAGGCCAGCAUCAUCUUGCAUGCCCAACCAGCCUGGAUGACAGUACAGAGACCGUUUCCCAACAAACACCACAGGUCCUUCCACAGGUCUGGCCUCACCGCGUGAAUGAGUGACUCUGUCUUAGCAAAACUCCACAUGAGUCUGUAUCAGUUGACAUCACUCUGCCAAUCAGCGCCUGAGUUCACAGAAGCAGCAAGAAGCCACCAGAAGGCCACCAGAAGUCACAACAAAUGGAGCUCUGCAUCACAAUGUAAGGCAAACCAAUACAGGUGUGUCAUUAGCUAAGAAUCCUUCAUCAAGCAUCCUUUCAUGUGCUUGCUUUAGCAAAACAUCCUUUCACCUGUGUCUGCUUCGCGAAAGCAUUCCUUCACGUGUCUGCCCCAGCAAAAUACCAUCCAACACAACUGACUUUCCAAAGAAACCCUAAGUUUCCACUUAACUAACUAACGAAUUGACUAAUGAGCUCACAUGGGGGGUAGGGGAAGAUUACCUUGGUAAGGAGCUGGCUGCCUGUUUUCUAGCUAGCUGUCAAGCUACAGUUAGCUCAGCCAUCAAUAUGAUCAGAGACCUGAGAAAGAUAAAUUAUAAUCUAGGUCCCAUAUGUUAAUUAAAAUGACAGAGGUUAGCUUACAGUCCACUACCUAACAGUUCUCUAAGGUUCCUAUGGUCUCCAUCACAAUACAGGAAGAAGCAGUCUGACCUUAGGCCCAGAAGAUGAGAGGGUUUUGAAUUUUUUCCCUGUGGAAGAGAAACAUGGAAGAGACGGCUUCAUCUUGACCUAGACAAUAUGAAAUACUCAACUGUCCAGAUGUCCUCUAUUUGUCCACAGUUCAGGCCAAACCCCGGCACUGGGCAAAGCAUAGGGAUAGUCUUUCCCAGUGGUUGGUGAACCACAAUCCAACUGGAGUCCUUUGCUGCUGUACCCAUAUCUUCUUGGAGACCUUGGGGGAGCGGGGAUCACUGUUAGGAUUUGUGAGUCUCUAACUAGCAUAGUAAGUUUAAACAUUUAAUGCCAUAUUCAGCAGAUCUCUGACAGGAUUGAGUGCUAGUGCCUAUUAAGCAUAUUCGGGUUAGACAAUCUAUGUCUGUUUCUGAUUAUCUAACCUUGUAAUUAACUGUAUCAGUUCUUAGCACGACUUUAAGUAUUUUUCUGAACAUAUUAAAGGAUACGAUCAUUCAUAAGGUCACUGAUUAUUUGCUUGCAUUUUUAAUUAUAAUUGCUUCUAAUGAAACUAGAACCAUUUUUUGAGAUUAGAGCUUGUUAGGUUUGAGCCUUAAAACUCAUGAUUUUCCAUUGAAGAUCUUCUAGUCUCAAAAUAAAACCUUUUUAAUCUAUAAA